AAAACCAACUUCACCGAUUUCCAAAAGGGCCAUGGCGCCUAGAAAGAGUUUUUUCGGACUUCUCAGGCGAAAUACAGUGACUAUAUUCUUUCCCCUGUUGACUGCGGUGGCCAUUGGCGCCGAUUUGUACAAUACGAGGAGGUGGAAAGCCAAGAAAAGCGGUGAUCUCCCUGCAUAGGUUUUAAGUAGCCACUAGCCUAUACCUACCUAGGAUUAAGAUGACGUUCUUCGCACACUUCAAACUUCCUCCAAAUUUAGUCAAGUAUAUGUCCGUCCCCAUCUUGGGCUUCAUGAUUGGUUCGUAUUUGGAUCGUCUGGAAACGGAACGCAUGACUCUGUUCAGAGACAAAUCUGCACUAUUCGGACGGGAACUGGCUGAGGGAGAAAAGCCCUCUUGGCCAUAGCUAGCAUCUACUGUAGUUACCUGUAAUAUAUUUAUAAAUAUAUAUAUAUAUUCGGAUGCGAGGAUGUCUACCAUUGUGUACGUGUUAAUGACUUAUUCUCCCAGUUUUAAAUAAAUUUGUAAAAGUAA